GAUGAACGCUAGCGGGAGGCUUAACACAUGCAAGUCGAGGGGUAAAUGGUAGCAAUACUAUGAGACCGGCGAACGGGUGCGUAACGCGUAUGCAACUUACCUUAUGCAGGGGGAUAGCCCGUGGAAACGCGGAUUAAUAUCCCAUAGAUCAGUAAUAUCGCAUGGUAUAACUGGUAAAACUCAGGUGGCAUAAGAUGGGCAUGCGUCUGAUUAGCUAGUUGGUAGGUAACGGCCUACCAAGGCGACGAUGGGUAGCCGGCCUGAGAGGGUGAACGGUCACACUGGGACUGAGACACGGCCCAGACUCCUACGGGAGGCAGCAGUUGGGAAUCUUCGGCAAUGGGGCGCAAGCCUGACCGAGCAACGCCGCGUGAGUGAUGAAGGUUUUCGGAUUGUAAAGCUCUGUCUUCCGGGACGAUAAUGACGGUACCGGAGGAGGAAGCCACGGCUAACUACGUG
rnacentral:rRNA from 1 species